GACGAACGCUGGCGGCGUGCCUAAUACAUGCAAGUAGAACGCUGAAGGAGGAGCUUGCUUCUCUGGAUGAGUUGCGAACGGGUGAGUAACGCGUAGGUAACCUGCCUGGUAGCGGGGGAUAACUAUUGGAAACGAUAGCUAAUACCGCAUAAGAGUAGAUGUCGCAUGACAUUUGCUUAAAAGGUGCAAUUGCAUCACUACCAGAUGGACCUGCGUUGUAUUAGCUAGUUGGUGAGGUAACGGCUCACCAAGGCAACGAUACAUAGCCGACCUGAGAGGGUGAUCGGCCACACUGGGACUGAGACACGGCCCAGACUCCUACGGGAGGCAGCAGUAGGGAAUCUUCGGCAAUGGGCGGAAGUCUGACCGAGCAACGCCGCGUGAGUGAAGAAGGUUUUCGGAUCGUAAAGCUCUGUUGUAAGAGAAGAACGAGUGUGAGAGUGGAAAGUUCACACUGUGACGGUAUCUUACCAGAAAGGGACGGCUAACUACGUG
rnacentral:rRNA from 1 species